GAUGAACGCUAGCGAUAGGCUUAACACAUGCAAGUCGAGGGGCAGCAUGGUCUUAGCUUGCUAAGACUGAUGGCGACCGGCGCACGGGUGCGUAACGCGUAUGCAACUUGCCUCACAGAGGGGGAUAACCCGUCGAAAGACGGACUAAUACCGCGUACACUUCAUCUUGGGAAUCCAAGGCAGAGGAAAUGAAAUUCGCUGUGAGAUAGGCAUGCGUCCCAUUAGCUAGUUGGUGAGGUAACGGCUCACCAAGGCGACGAUGGGUAGGGGAACUGAGAGGUUGAACCCCCACACUGGUACUGAGACACGGACCAGACUACUACGGGAGGCAGCAGUGAGGAGUAUUGGUCAAUGGGCGAGAGCCUGAACCAGCCAAGUCGCGUGAAGGAUGACUGUCUUAUGGAUUGUAAACUUCUUUUAUACGGGAAUAACAAGAGUCACGUGUGACUCCCUGCAGGUACCGUAUGAAUAAGCAUCGGCUAACUCCGUG
rnacentral:rRNA from 1 species